rfam:Camelus ferus unplaced genomic scaffold scaffold370, whole genome shotgun sequence.
GAGGGUAUAGCUCAAGCGUUAGAGCGCAUGCUUAGAGUGCACAGGGUCCUGGGUUCAAUCCCCAGUACCUUCU